rnacentral:rRNA from 1 species
UACGAAGGGGCUAGCGUUGCUCGGAAUCACUGGGCGUAAAGCGCACGUAGGCGGAUUGCUAAGUCAGGGGUGAAAUCCUGGAGCUCAACUCCAGAACUGCCUUUGAUACUGGCGAUCUUGAGUCCGGGAGAGGUGAGUGGAACUGCGAGUGUAGAGGUGAAAUUCGUAGAUAUUCGCAAGAACACCGAUGGCGAAGGCAGUUCUCUGGGCCGUAACUGACGCUGAGGAGCGAAAAGCGUGGGGAGCGAACAGG